rnacentral:rRNA from 1 species
CCUACGGGAGGCUGCAGUAGGGAAUAUUGCUCAAUGGGGGAAACCCUGAAGCAGCAACGCCGCGUGGAGGAUGAAGGUUUUCCGAUUGUAAACUCCUUUUGUUAGAGAAGUUACUGACGGUAUCUAACGAAUAAUCACCGUCUAACUCCGUGCCAGCAGCCGCGGUAAUACGGAGGGUGCAAGCGUUACUCGGAAUCACUGGCCUAAAGAGCGCGUAGGCGGGAUAGCAAGUCAGAUGUGAAAUCCUAUGGCUUAACCAUAGAACUGCAUUUGAAACUGUUAUUCUAGAGUAUGGGAGAGGUAGGUGGAAUUCUUGGGGUAGGGGUAAAAUCCGUAGAGAUGAAGAAGAAUACUCAUUGCGAAGGCGACCUGCUAGAACAUAACUGACGCUGAUGCGCGAAAGCGUGGGGAGCGAACAGGAUUAGAUACCCGGGUAGUC